rnacentral:rRNA from 1 species
CCUACGGGUGGCUGCAGUGAGGAAUAUUGGUCAAUGGACGAGAGUCUGAACCAGCCAAGUAGCGUGAAGGAUGACUGCCCCAUGGGUUGUAAACUUCUUUUAUAUGGGAAUAAAAUGUUCCACGUGUGGGAUUUUGUAUGUACCAUAUGAAUAAGGAUCGGCUAACUCCGUGCCAGCAGCCGCGGUACUACGGAGGAUCCGAGCGUUAUCCGGAUUUAUUGGGUUUAAAGGGAGCGUAGGUGGAUUGUUAAGUCAGUUGUGAAAGUUUGCGGCUCAACCGUAAAAUUGCAGUUGAAACUGGCAGUCUUGAGUACAGUAGAGGUGGGCGGAAUUCGUGGUGUAGCGGUGAAAUGCUUAGAUAUCACGAAGAACUCCGAUUGCGAAGGCAGUUCACUGGACUGCAACUGACACUGAGGCUCGAAAGUGUGGGUAUCAAACAGGAUUAGAUACCCGAGUAGUC